AUCUCACAGACUUUCCUGCUCAGGCUAGCUUUGCACUGUGAUCCUCAGAUCUCAACCUCCUGUGUUAGCUAGGGUUACAGGUUUGAGCCACUGGUGCCUGGCUUAAGUUGUAUAUUUAAGUUCUGGCUUUGUCCCCUGAGCUGUCAAGGUGGAAAAGGCAGGAGGAAUAAGUUCCCAGGUGGGUGGACAUUAUUGGUUAUUAGCAGUGUCUAGCCUGGUAGUGUUUUUUUUUUAUGGUGCAAGUAGCUCAUCUUUAGCCCUCAUUGGACUCAUUUUUCCAAGACUAGUGGCCUUUCUGGAUCUGUGACCCUGUCCAGAAUUGGGAUUUUUAAAAAAUCUUUGUCCCUUUUGGAGGGAUAUCUAUGAAACAUAACCACUCCCUAGAAUGUUUAGGGGGACUCUCAGCCCUGUAUCUGUGGGGAACACAAACCAGCUGUUCAGCUAAGUUAGCUGCUGGCUCAUCUGGAGCUGCCUCUUGUAGUUCCCCCCCAAGUUAUAGCCUUGUGGUUGCCAGCCCCCUUUAAUUGGGUCCUUCAUUUCGGAGUCUGUUAUUUGCAUCAUGUCUCAUUGUGACUGGAGGGCUAUACUUUUUCCUAAACUCAACGGUUCAGUAAGAUGUAUGAUGGAAUCCAAUGAUUCAUCUGUCCCAUGAAUAAUAGAAGUGUGUGUGUUGGCAGGGAGGGCCAUGACAUACUGGAAGGAAAUUACCUUUAAAUAGGAUCUUGAAUUGAAUAUUAGAUCAGGCUGUGGGAACAAAAUAAAACAAAAGAAAAAUACCCUCCACUUUUCCCAUUUAACCCCUUCCCAGGAGCAUUAACUACAAAAAUGACCAAAGGGUCUUCUUCAGUGCACUAGCAACUAUAAAUGGUGUACUGGUAUGGAUUUCUAUGACACUAAUAAUGUCAACUGACCGUAACUAGUUAUAUUCUAGGAAAAAUGGGCCAAUUGUCUUCUGCUUUUUGAUCCUACCUAAACUUGGGAUAGAAUGCCACUUUUGACUUAGGUCACCAAUAACUUUAGACUCCAAACUGUGAUUUUUAAAUUUUCAUCCUCUGUUCAGUGUUGACUUCCAUCAUGGCAAAAACAAGGAUUGAAAUCCCCAUCCCAGAAUUCAAGAUUAUUUAUGAUUUCGGUUGCAAUGGCUUAAAGAUGAGGGCCAGGAAGCUAGACUACUCAGGGAUAAUCCUCACUCUGUGUAAUCCUGGACAAGUCACUUCACCUCUUUGAGCCUUAGCAUUCUCAUCAAUAAGAUGAGAAUAAUAAUAAUAAUAUCAUCUACCCCAUGUGGUUGUUGGGAGGGUUGAAUAGGUUUACAGAUGCAAUGCACUACACAGUUGCUCACUUAGCGAACCAGAUUUGCUGUUAAUAUUAAUUUUUAUUCCAUUUUCUUUACUCCUGGCUAUUGUUCUAGCUCAAAUAUCCCUACAUUUAUGAAGCUAUGUCUAUGUGUCUGUCUUGCUCACUAGUGUGUGCACAGUACCAGACACUGUGCCUGUCAUACACUAGAUGCUUCAUAAAUAUUUGUAAAAUGAUUGAAUGAGUAAAUAUAUUUUCCCAUUUAGGACUUUUUCAAAACUUUGGUAUUACUUUGUAUCUACUGUCUUUCAUGGACUUAACCACAUUUAACUUUUAUUGGAGUUAAUUGUGCUUUCAACCAAACUAUCUUAUCCAGAUGGUCAGCCCUUGAAGAGUAGCACCUGGGUCAAUUGUUUUGUAUUUCCUGUGAGGUCGUGCAUGGAGGGCAAUAAAUAUUUUGUAAAUAAUUAAUCCCCAUUGGAAUUUGUGGUCUUAAGCCAUUAAGUUGCUGCUUUUUUUUCUAGAAGCAGAGAUACAAAUGUGCAAAGACUAUCCUUGCAACAACCUCACAUCCUGUUGCUUGCUUUCUUUUAUUUCUUUAAUUUUUUUUAUUGUAAAGUUAAUAGGGUUACAGUUACAUAAGUCAGGUAAAUGAGUACAUUUCUUUUGAACAGUGUUACCUCUUCCCUCAUCUUCUCCCAGUUUUUCCCUCCCGACACAAGUUGUAUAGUUCAUUUCCAUCAUAGAGUCUAGUGAGUAUCACUACUGAAUUAGUUCACCCCUUUGUCCCACCAUUUUCAUGCUUCCCUUUAUCCUCCCCUAGUCAGAAAAACUUACAUACAAAAGGUUCAGAAAUCGCAAACAGCAACAAAGGGGGAAAACCAGAAAAAACAACAACACACACACACACACACACACACACGCACACACACACACACACACACAAAACAACUCUUGUUCGCAUUUCUUGGAGUUCAUUUCGAUAAAGGAAGUGAUAGAAGGAAAAGUGGAAGAGGUGGCCUAAAGUGGGAAUGGGUGUUUUGUGAUAAAAAUACAAGUUCGGUUCAAAGAACAGAUCGGUGUUAAAAGUUUUAGUCGAGUUUAACAAUUACUGAAAAUGUAUAGGUUCCAAUCUGUUUGGAACUCAUGCAAAUGUAGCUUAUGUUUUUUGUUGUUGUUGUUUUGUAAAAUCUUUGACAUGAAACUCCUUGACUCUAUCUGAAAAAUAAUAAGAUUAUUGGGGGACUAAGCUAAUCAUUUGCUGUGCUCCUUAGGCCCAUGUAUUGGAAAGCAGUGGCUCUAGUGAGCAACCAAGGCCUGCACCUCAUUGGCUAUGGCCGGUUAGAGAGAAUGAGAGAUCACUUGAGUAGUGGUCCAAUAUGAGAGCAAAUUUGGUCCACAAGUGAGUCAGGCUCCUUCCUAGAUGCCCAAAAGAAAGGAAGCAGGUGCCAAUUGGCACCUGAAGAAAGCUCCCUGUUUUAUUUAGGAUCAGGAAACACAUGGUUGAGCUGGGAAGUAGAAAGUGAACGAUAUUGUCACCAUUUACACAUAGAGGAAAAACCAUGUGCCUCAAAACAGAUCUAAUGGCAUAGGUUGGGGCGAUUUUCCCCCCUCACUUUGAUCUUUGAUUAUUAUCUUUUUCAUGUAGCCUGAAUUUGGCAAAUUGGUGCAAUUAAAAAUACAUUUUUCAUGGUAAGCUAAAUGCUAUUGCACUCCCCCAAGCCUCAAUGGCUUAACUCAAUACAUGUUUAUUUCUCACUUAAACCACAGUUCAAUGUGGGCUGGUAGUAGUGGAAAAGGGUGUUGUCUUGCUCCUGUCAUUCAAGGACCCAGGCCCCUUACAUCUUGCAGCUCCACCUUUCUUCAGGACUUAGUCCAGGAAGGACAAGUGGAAGGUGGGAGAAUGAGAAGGUGAUUUGCAUGGACCAGACUCCCAACUACAUUCUGCUGUCCAGAUGGCUUCACCUAGUCACAGAGAAGCUGGGAGAUGUAGUCUAUCAAUGUACCCAGAGAAAAGUCAAAUGAUCUUGUCAAAAAAUGGAUCAAUCUCUGGUCCCGUCAUCCCCCCCCC